rnacentral:lncRNA from 10 species
GGCAGUCACCACAGGCUCAGGAGUAGGAGUACCUCUCAAUUUCCAACUGUUGGAAGAACCUGAAGGUUAGAAAGGAGUGGUAUGAGAUGGCACAGAUAGCUAGAGUCUAGAAGAUGAUAAAGACAUGACACUUACCAAAUGGACAGGGAUGAUAAUUGGGCCUUCAAGAACAAUUUACAAAAACUGAAUAUACAGCUUUAAAAUAGAAUGUGGACCUAAAUACCCAGCAGCACUCCCCUUUGUAAGAUGUGUAACAAAAAUUAAUGCUAUUCUAAAGGAGUGGUGGACUCAAGAGCCAUUUCAGUGCUAGCUAAAUAGCAGAAUUCAGAUAGCAUCAAAGUUGUCUUGGAAGAGGUUGAACAGCUAAUGACAUCUAAAGAAAACAUGAAACUCCCUCAGCAGCCUGAAAGACACUGUUACAGUAAUUAA